UGGGGUUACAGGUGGCACCCUGGUAACACAGUGAAAAAUAAAACAUUAGAGAAAUGUGAAAGCUUUGAGAAAAAUAAAAAGGGAAAAAUGAAUUGAACCGGAAAAAUGAAGAAUUGAAUCGAAAAAAUGAAGUGAAAAAAAGAAAGAGAUUGAUAAGAUAUGGAAAUUAGGAAAUGGAAAAGAGGGAUUCUGAAAUGGAAAAGGGAAAAGAUGAAUUUGAAUUAGGAGACUAACUGCUCCAUCGCUUUCAUCCAUACAGGUUCUGCCUUCUCUAGACCCUUCACCACCUUCCUCGUUCAACAAAGCAAAUCUUCGCGCAUAAACGACAUCGUUUAGCUUCUUGAUGUUGGGUGUUGCAGU
rnacentral:lncRNA from 1 species